GCGGUGGUAGUUUAGUGGUAGAAUCGUACCCUGCCACGGUAUGGACCCGGGUCCGAAUCCCGGCCACCGCA
rnacentral:tRNA from 1 species